rnacentral:piRNA from 1 species
UCCCAAAGUGAACAUACUUAAUGCACUGUC